rnacentral:rRNA from 1 species
GAUGAACGCUGGCGGCGUGCCUAAUACAUGCAAGUCGAGCGAACAGACGAGGAGCUUGCUCCUCUGACGUUAGCGGCGGACGGGUGAGUAACACGUGGAUAACCUACCUAUAAGACUGGGAUAACUUCGGGAAACCGGAGCUAAUACCGGAUAACAUGUUGAACCGCAUGGUUCAACAGUGAAAGACGGUUUUGCUGUCACUUAUAGAUGGAUCCGCGCCGCAUUAGCUAUUUGGUAAGGUAACGGCUUACCAAGGCAACGAUGCGUAGCCGACCUGAGAGGGUGAUCGGCCACACUGGAACUGAGACACGGUCCAGACUCCUACGGGAGGCAGCAGUAGGGAAUCUUCCGCAAUGGGCGAAAGCCUGACGGAGCAACGCCGCGUGAGUGAAGAAGGUCUUCGGAUCGUAAAACUCUGUUAUUAGGGAAGAACAAAUGUGUAAGUAACUAUGCACGUCUUGACGGUACCUAAUCAGAAAGCCACGGCUAACUACGUG